rnacentral:rRNA from 1 species
UGCAGUCGAGCGGUAAGGCCUCUUCGGGGGUACACGAGCGGCGAACGGGUGAGUAACACGUGAGCAAUCUGCCCUUCACUCGCGGAUAACUACCGGAAACGGUGGCUAAUACGUGAUGCGACCGCUUCCUGCAUGGGAUGGUGGUGGAAAGUUUUGGCGGUGGGGGAUGAGCUCGCGGCCUAUCAGCUUGUUGGUGAGGUAAUGGCUUACCAAGGCUUCGACGGGUAGCCGGCCUGAGAGGGUGACCGGCCACACUGGGACUGAGACACGGCCCAGACUCCUACGGGAGGCAGCAGUGGGGAAUAUUGGACAAUGGGCGAAAGCCUGAUCCAGCAACGCCGCGUGAGGGAUGACGGCCUUCGGGUUGUAAACCUCUUUCAGUACCGACGAAGCGCAAGUGACGGUAGGUACAGAAGAAGCACCGGCCAACUACGUGCCAGCAGCCGCGGUAAUACGUAGGGUGCGAGCGUUGUCCGGAAUUAUUGGGCGUAAAGGGCUCGUAGGCGGUUUGUCACGUCGGGAGUGAAAACUCGGGGCUUAACUCCGAGCCUGCUUCCGAUACGGGCUGACUAGAGGUAUGCAGGGGAGAACGGAAUUCCUGGUGUAGCGGUGAAAUGCGCAGAUAUCAGGAGGAACACCGGUGGCGAAGGCGGUUCUCUGGGCAUUACCUGACGCUGAGGAGCGAAAGUGUGGGGAGCGAACAGGAUUAGAUACCCUGGUAGU